rnacentral:rRNA from 1 species
AUUGAACGCUGGCGGCAUGCUUUACACAUGCAAGUCGAACGGCAGCGGGGGCUUCGGCCUGCCGGCGAGUGGCGAACGGGUGAGUAAUGCAUCGGAACGUGCCCAUGUCGUGGGGGAUAACGUAGCGAAAGCUACGCUAAUACCGCAUACGCCCUGAGGGGGAAAGCGGGGGAUUCUUCGGAACCUCGCGCGAUUGGAGCGGCCGAUGUCGGAUUAGCUAGUAGGUGGGGUAAAGGCCCACCUAGGCGACGAUCCGUAGCGGGUCUGAGAGGAUGAUCCGCCACACUGGGACUGAGACACGGCCCAGACUCCCCUAGGGAGGCAGCAGUGGGGAAUUUUGGACAAUGGGCGCAAGCCUGAUCCAGCCAUGCCGCGUGAGUGAAGAAGGCCUCGGUUGUAAGUACGUCUUUCGUCAACGGGAA